CCGAGAGGCGUAGUCGAUGGACAACGGGUUGAUAUUCCCGUACUGACGAAGAACCGCCCAAGCUAACCCAGUGAUGCUAAGUGUCUGAAUCCUUGUUGACGAGCCCUUCGGGGUGAGCGGCAGGGCCUAGCACACGACCCUAUGCUGGUGCGGCUAGCGUAUUAACAGGUGUGACGCAGGAAGGUAGCUGAGCCGGGCGAUGGUAGUCCCGGUGUAAGGAUGUAGGGCGAGGGAUAGGCAAAUCCGUUCCUCAUGACGCCUGAGAUCCGAUGCGUAUCCCUCACGGGAGAAAUCAGUGAUCCUAUGCUGCCAAGAAAAGCAUCGACGCGAGGUUCAAGUCACCCGUACCCCAAACCAACACAGG
rnacentral:rRNA from 1 species